AUUGAACGCUGGCGGCAGGCCUAACACAUGCAAGUCGAGCGAGCGGCGGACGGGUGAGUAAUGUAUGGGGACUGCCCCAUAGAGGGGGAGAACUACUGGAAACGCUAGCUACUACCGCAUACUCUCUGAUUAUCCAUAUGGGAUUAGCUAGUAGGUGAGGUAAUGGCUCACCUAGGCGACGAUCCCUAGCUGUUCUGAGAGGAUGAUCAGCCACACGUGGACUGAGACACGGCCCAGACUCCUACGGAGGCAGCAGUGGGGAAUAUUGCACAAUGGGCGCAAGCCUGAUGCAGCCAUGCCGCGUGUAUGAAGAAGGCCCUAGGGUUGUAAAGUACUUUCAGUCGGGAGGCGUUACCGACAGAAGAAGCACCGGCUAACUCCGUGCCAGCCGCCGCGGUAAUUC
rnacentral:rRNA from 1 species